UCCGCAGCAAAGAGCUUUUGUGAAAUAGUCCGCGGUAGACAGACUUCCAAAUAACAGGUAAUCUCCACCUGUCAGGUGUGUAACUGGUAGGCGUGGCUUGGGUUUGACUCCUUAUACCCACCUUCCGUAUUUGCUAUUCCUCUCCGGACGCGGCCUGCACAGGUGAUUCACAAAGCAACUACUUCAACAUUGUAACUUGCUGAACAGCAAUGAUGGUGAACUGCUGUGGUCUGCUCACUGCCAAUAAGGAACCAGUUCCUCUGAAGAGCGUGGAGGUGGAGCUGGAGGUCAAGGACCACGUGG